GCAAGUCGAGCGGACAGAAGGGAGCUUGCUCCCGGAUGUUAGCGGCGGACGGGUGAGUAACACGUGGGUAACCUGCCUGUAAGACUGGGAUAACUCCGGGAAACCGGAGCUAAUACCGGAUAGUUCCUUGAACCGCAUGGUUCAAGGAUGAAAGACGGUUUCGGCUGUCACUUACAGAUGGACCCGCGGCGCAUUAGCUAGUUGGUGGGGUAAUGGCUCACCAAGGCGACGAUGCGUAGCCGACCUGAGAGGGUGAUCGGCCACACUGGGACUGAGACACGGCCCAGACUCCUACGGGAGGCAGCAGUAGGGAAUCUUCCGCAAUGGACGAAAGUCUGACGGAGCAACGCCGCGUGAGUGAUGAAGGUUUUCGGAUCGUAAAGCUCUGUUGUUAGGGAAGAACAAGUGCGAGAGUAACUGCUCGCACCUUGACGGUACCUAACCAGAAAGCCACGGCUAACUACGUGCCAGCAGCCGCGGUAAUACGUAGGUGGCAAGCGUUGUCCGGAAUUAUUGGGCGUAAAGGGCUCGCAGGCGGUUUCUUAAGUCUGAUGUGAAAGCCCCCGGCUCAACCGGGGAGGGUCAUU
rnacentral:rRNA from 1 species